rnacentral:lncRNA from 1 species
UCCAAAAUGUUUGUAGUCAUCAACUAUGACAAACUCUGUACAUUCUUGAUAUCCAUAUAAAUAGCCAAUCCCUUUCUCUUGGAUAAUAUUAUGCUAUCUUAAAUUAAUGCAACUUUCUCACCCAGGAUAAUUGUUUGUAAUGGAGGAUAAGUUGUCCAUUUAUCUUGAGCAGGAUGCAGUAAAGUAGUCACAUGGUUCCAUAAGAAAGCUUUUUGUACUGCAUGGUGUACUUGUAGGUGUUUGUAAAAAACACACACACACACACACACACACACAGCCUCUCAGAAGACCAACCACAACUUCCAUCCCCAAAAUUGUGCAGGAAAGGAGAAGCCAUGAGCAGCUAAACCCAGCAAGUGUUAUAUACAUACUAACCAAGAGAGUAACAUCAAUCAAUGAGUGUCUUGUACUACUAGUGUAUUGUAUCCUUCCAGUGCAUGAUCCUUUGGAUGUUUAAGGUUUUAGCCUGUUCAUUAUAAUCCCAGGCAUCUUCUAGGUGUCUAUAUCAACACCCCUCUGCAGGGUUAUGACUAUUCAUUGGUUGUUUCCCAAUUCCAUUCUGGAUAAAUAUGGUAAUUCUGGGUUCCUGUUUUUCCUGCAUUCCUUUUACAAAUUAUUUCUUCAAAAGUUCACUUGAAGGUGUAUCUACACUAUAACCAUGUCUCUGCCCAUAUCUAUAUCUAUAUCCCACUCUCAGGCUAUGCUGAGGAAGUUAGAAGAAAUCCAUUUUAGUAGAAACCAUAUUUUUAAAGGAGGAGGCUAAUGUAACUGCUUUCAAGGUAACACCUCAAACCAGUGCUUUAAAAAGAAAAAAUGCUCCUAUUUGUCAGUAAUUCUAUGUUAACAUUACCUAUAACUGAUAGCUAUGAAUUGGCAGAUUAGAGUCCAUCUUUCCUAACAAAGCACACAAACCCAACCCUUAAUUGUAUCCAUUUUGUUUCCUACUGUUGUGAUGCUUUUAAUAGCUUCAUUCCCUAUUCUUUGGCCAGUACUACCACGACAAAUAUUUUAUUUUCCUGAAUUCAAACAUGAAUUCUACUAAGAGGUCAUAUACUGAGGUGUUCACUCAAACAAACCACCAUUGAAACAAAAACGUUUUAAUACCAUAGCUGGACUAAACACACAUACUACAAAUACAUUAAGUAAAUUUGUCUUUUAACACUAUUGAAAAAAUUCUUUUGAAUUCCUCAAGGAGCUGAAAUAAUGCA